AUACUUACAGGGCACUGGAGCUACUGUGAUCAAGAAGGCAGUGCUCCCAGGUUUCGGCCUUCACUGCACUCUUCUCGGAGGCUGAAUCCUGCGUGUUCCCCACUCUUAGGGUGCACGGUGUGCAAUUUUUGUUAGUUGGGCUGACCUGCGUACGCGCUCGUUGGCCCUC